rnacentral:tRNA from 1 species
AUUUAAAUAGCUUAAAAAGAGCAUAACAUUGAAGCUGUUAGGGUGAUAUAAUAUCUUUAAAUA